rnacentral:rRNA from 1 species
AAUCAACGCUGGCGGCGUGCCUAACACAUGCAAGUCGAACGCGAAAGCCCCUUCGGGGGUAAGUAGAGUGGCGUCCGGGUGAGUAACACGUAGGUAAUCUGCCUUCGGGUGGGAAUAACCAGUCGAAAGAUUGGCUAAUACCGCAUAAUGCAGCGGCACCUAAUGGUGAUUAGUUGUUAAAGCGGGGGAUCGUAAGACCUCGCGCCUGAAGAGGAGCCUGCGGCAGAUUAGCUUAGNGGUGAGGUAAUGGCUCACCAAGGCUUCGAUCUGUAGCUGGUCUGAGAGGACGGCAGCCACACUGGCACUGACACACGGGCCAGACUCC